rfam:Loxodonta africana unplaced genomic scaffold scaffold_46, whole genome shotgun sequence.
GCAGUGGCGGUUCAGUGGUAGAAUUUUUGCCUUUGGUGCAGGAGUCCCGGGUUCAAUUCCUGGCCAAUGCU